GAUGAACGCUGGCGGCGUGCCUAAUACAUGCAAGUCGAGCGACCAGACGAGGAGCUUGCUCCUCUGACGUUAGCGGCGGACGGGUGAGUAACACGUGGAUAACCUACCUAUAAGACUGGGAUAACUUCGGGAAACCGGAGCUAAUACCGGAUAAUAUAUUGAACCGCAUGGUUCAAUAGUGAAAGACGGUUUUGCUGUCACUUAUAGAUGGAUCCGCGCUGCAUUAGCUAGUUGGUAAGGUAACGGCUUACCAAGGCAACGAUGCGUAGCCGACCUGAGAGGGUGAUCGGCCACACUGGAACUGAGACACGGUCCAGACUCCUACGGGAGGCAGCAGUAGGGAAUCUUCCGCAAUGGGCGAAAGCCUGACGGAGCAACGCCGCGUGAGUGAUGAAGGUCUUCGGAUCGUAAAACUCUGUUAGUAGGGAAGAAAAGAUGUGUAAGAAACUAUGCACGUCUUGACGGUACCUAAUCAGAAAGCAACGGCUAACUACGUG
rnacentral:rRNA from 1 species